UCCCUGGUGGCCUAGUGGUUAAGGCUGCAGCCCUGUCGCUCCUGUGGCUCUGGUUCGAUCCCUGGCUGGGGAA
rnacentral:tRNA from 1 species